rnacentral:sRNA from 1 species
CAUUUUCGCAAAAGAUUUUAUAAUAAAGUCAGGCCUAACUUGAAAAGCAUAGAGGCUGGAAACGCUAAACUUGCUUCUACAUUCCCACUCUGAAAAUAUGUUUAAGGAUUGGUCAUACGCACCGGGCUUAAUCAAGUACUCAUAUGCGACGGAUAAGCAGGAAGGAAUGGAAGGAUUUGUACAAAAAGCGAGUCUACGUAUGACGCGAAGGCAAAUAGUUCGCGCGAUUGGCUGUGCCUGGAGGUUUGACGACGGCAAAGAGACUUGAAUCUUGGAGAGUAUUCUAUACUGCACGUCUGCGUCACAAAACACGAAAAUCAUCAUUUUUGCAAAGAGAACACCUUUGACAUCCUCAAGAGAUAAGCCAAAAACUUUUGCGGUCACGCCAAACAGGUAGGAGCCAGACCCCUCAAUUUUGGAUAACAAAUCGAACAAGCAACACAGAAGUCGUUAUCCUGUCAUUGGCCGUUAGAAUGCGUGGCAAAAAGGACGAUAAUCCUUGAAGGAGCUGAGGAAAAUAGAUUUUUGUCUAUAGAGAUAAAAUGCUGUAGAUCGGCCGUUUCCUUGCCAGUCAUGAUGUCUAUUUGCCAAACACUGCCAAAUCAAGGACUACACGGAGCUCUAAGGACCUUCACGACUGACAAAGCAAAUAUUUCCAGGAUCGGACUUUAAUUAAG